rnacentral:lncRNA from 1 species
UUAGCCUUCUUCUCCUUCACUCUUGUUUCAAUCAGACAUCCAAAUAAAAAAAUUUGAUUCCUCACCCAGCUUCUAACCACUUCAUGCUUAGUUGUUUUGUUGAAGCCUCUCAUGUUACAAAAAAACCCCGCCAUUAGAGAUUUUUGUUGGUACCCCUUCCUUGAACCACCCGAUGAUUUGUCUUAGAUUGUCGAGGAAGA